GAUGAACGCUGGCGGCGUGCCUAAUACAUGCAAGUCGAGCGAACAGACGAGGAGCUUUCUCCUCUGACGUUAGCGGCGGACGGGUGAGUAACAAGUGGAUAACCUACCUAUAAGACUGGGAUAACAUCGGGAAACCGGAGCUAAUACCAGAUAAUAUAUUGAACCGCAUGGUUCAAUAGUGAAAGACGGUUUUGCUGUCACUUAUAGAUGGAGCCGCGUCGCAUUAGCUAGUUGGUAAGGUAACGGCUUACCAAGGCAACGAUGCGUAGCCGACCUGAGAGGAUGAUCAGCCACACUGGAACUGAGACACGGUCCAGACUCCUACGGGAGGCAGCAGUAGGGAAUAUUCCGCAAUGGGCGCAAGCCUGACGGAGCAAUGCCGCGUGAGUGAUGAAGGUCUUCGGAUCGUAAAGCUCUGUUAUUAGGGAAGAAAAACUGUGUAAGUAACUAUGCACGUUUUGACGGUACCUAAAGAGAAAGCAACGGCUAACUACGUG
rnacentral:rRNA from 1 species